ensembl:misc_RNA Y_RNA Y RNA
GGCUGGUCUGAAUGCAGUAGCAUUUACAACUAAUUAAUUAUAACCAGCUAUAGAAUUUUAUUUCUUCUCCACUCCCACUGCUUCACUUGACUUAAA